GGGGUUGUGGCUCAGUGGUAGAGCGCUUGCCUACCACACAUGAAUCACUGGGUUUGAUCCUCAGCACCA
rnacentral:tRNA from 1 species